UACGAAGGGGGCUAGCGUUGUUCGGAAUUACUGGGCGUAAAGCGCGUGUAGGCGGGUCUUUUAGUCAGGGGUGAAAUCCCGAGGCUCAACCUCGGAACUGCCUUUGAUACUGGGGAUCUCGAGUCCGGGAGAGGUGAGUGGAACUGCGAGUGUAGAGGUGAAAUUCGUAGAUAUUCGCAAGAACACCAGUGGCGAAGGCGGCUCACUGGCCCGGUACUGACGCUGAGGUGCGAAAGCGUGGGGAGCAAACAGG
rnacentral:rRNA from 1 species